UACGUAGGGUGCGAGCGUUGUCCGGAAUUAUUGGGCGUAAAGGGCUCGUAGGCGGUUUGUCGCGUCGGGAGUGAAAACCUCGGGCUUAACUCGGGGCUUGCUUUCGAUACGGGCAGACUGGAGGUAUGCAGGGGAGAACGGAAUUCCUGGUGUAGCGGUGAAAUGCGCAGAGUAUCAGGAGGAACACCGGUGGCGAAGGCGGUUCUCUGGGCAUUACCUGACGCUGAGGAGCGAAAGUGUGGGGAGCGAACAGG
rnacentral:rRNA from 1 species